CGCAUAAAUAGAGGAGCUGCCAAGCAUGUAUUUGGCGAGGUGUUAAGGAGAAGAACCUCCAAUACUCGCUGAAGAAGGUUUGGCUGCCGAAAGGGUGAGCUUGUUCUUGAGCUCAUCCUUGGUGGUAAACACAAAGUUUACCACUGUCAUGGGACCUCCCAUGAAGCGCUAUUUAUGCA
rnacentral:ncRNA from 18 species